GUUUAUUUUUCUACUGAGGAAAAUACUGAAGAAAAAAACUGAGGAUUUGUGUUACUGCUUGCACUGCUCAUAUACUUCAUACAGCAACCUCAAGUGCCUGACUGAGAUUUGAGAUCAUACCUACAGCAAAAUGAUUGUUGUAAAAUGAAUCUUGAGAGGGAUUUAGGGAGGAGGCCAACUUCAGAAGAUUUAAACAGACUUCUCAGAAGUGUAAGAUAUACUGUCUUAACUAGGGUGUUUCUUUUUUGUUUCUUUCUGAACGUAACAUGAUUUAAACUCCAGUUCAUGUGUAUUAUGGACUGCUUAAAAUCCAAAGAACUGAACCUUGCCUUCAGCCAUUUUCAAAAUGUUAUGUGGAGCAGCAUUUUUGGAGGCGUCUAUUUAGAGAAGUUUGGGGACACUUCUGAGCAUGUAACACCAGGGAGUGGUCAUUGGGUCAUAGCCCUCAGUAGCGAUCGGUUCCUUGUGCUGUUACAUCUUCCCUUUAGGACAGCAUAGUGCAUACCACGUGUUCUCCCCAACUGAGAAUUUUCCUGGUUAAACCAGGAGGGGGAGCUUUUAUUCCACACAAUAAAGUGCACGGUGUAGUGGUGCCUCUCAUCUAAGGGAAACUACUAUUUUGUAAUUGAAAUAGAAGAUCAGUGGUACUGGAUUGUGAGCUGAAAACAAGAAAAAUGCUUACAUUAGUGAGAGAAUGAAGAGAGUUCAGAGCACAAAUCAUUACAAAGAGUUAGGAAGUGUGAAGGCAACAAUAGAGCAUCACUAGUAGGACAAAUUCUUAUCUGCAUAUGGCUGUACCAUAGAAAAUACAUCCAGAAUGCUGUAUUUUCAGAAACAUAAGACUUUAGUAAAGUAUGUUUUUGUCUUUAAUAUUUGUGUUUGUAUAUUACUUGAUUUUUUUGCAUGCAUUAUUAUUUUUUAUGAAACUUACUCAUCUUCCUUCUGCUCAUGUAUAAGUUGUAGUCUUUGAAAGGUUGAGAAAAUUCCUCUUGUUCCCCCGUGAGCAGUUUGUUUCUCUUUGUUGUCAGUUUUGUUUCUUUAUUCUCUAAAGCAACAUCACAAAAAAAAAAUAAAUCUCAGAGCAUUCAUUCUCUUGAAAAUGAAAAUAUAGUAACAAAAAAGAGUAAAGUUAGAGGAAAAAAAUCACAUAGAAAUGGUGAAGCUAUAAAAAUUAAAGAUAAGUGUUAAGACUUAAAUGGUUCAGUCCAAAAAUAUAACAUACAUGACAUUCUCUGUGAAUUGCCCAAUUAUUUGAAUUACAGAUUUUAAGUUCUUAUUGCACUAGGCACUUUAAAUGUAUGGCCUUGUGAUUACUGUACAUAGGAACACUGGAGUUGAUAGGUAAUGCUAUAUUUGUUGGUAAGCUUUAUUUGUGACCAAACAGUGGCUUUUCCUUUGCACCUACUCUUGGUGAGUAAGACUCAGGAAUUGCAGUAGUCUCUUCUGGCCUUUAUAGGAUUAUCACUGGAAUAUAGGGAGAUAUUUGUGAGUGAUGCAGUGAAUGUCAGCUGAUGGGUUUGGAAGGAACAUAUCUUCAGGACUUGAGCAGUGCUUUGAAAAACAUGUAAUUCAGAUUUAUUUCAUGGUGCAACUUCAACACCUACCUUGAUUUUUUUUUCCCAGUUUUUUAAUGCUGAAAAGAUAAAUAUUAUGGAAUAUUACCAGCCUUGCAAAAUGGUGCUUGACUGUUGGAAGCAAACUGCUUUUGCUGAACGAACCAAAUCAUAGAUCUUCCAAAUUAGUGUAAUAGUGGACAAAUUCCAUUUGUCUGUGGAAGAUAAAGUGCUUAGAAUUGUGCUGCUUUUAUUCCUUUUUUCUUUUUUUCCCCUUAGUGAAGCAGAAUUGAAAUGAUAGAUUUCCAGAAUGUAAGUUCCAUAAACUUUUCAGAUACAUUUUUUUCUCAGUGUUGGGUAAAAUGAAACCUCAAGGAAAAGACAGUCUUUUUAUCUGAAUACUUUAUAUUGUCCUCCUAGGCAGUUGUUGUUAACUCACUUAGCUUAUUGCUUGUACCUUUGGAAGGUGUUUGUCCCUCGUUUUCCUUUGCCAAUUCAUGAUGCUGUAUAAUUGCAAGAGAUUGCAAGAAUUGCCAGUUUGACAUUGUGGGGGACAGUGAUAUGCCCAGACCCUCAUCUGUGCUCUGAAGGUAGGAAAAAUAGACACUGUGAUGGAAGGCCUGUUGCCACUGUCAUUCUCUUAGUAGUCAUCACUGGAUGCAAUGAUUUUCUGUUUAAUCCUUUAUAUACAUCUAUCUAAUGUAGGAUAGGUCAAAGGGCAGACCAUAUAGACUAUUUAAAUAUCUGUGCACCUUCUUUGUAAACACAAUUUAGCUAGUACUGGCUGUGAUCUAAAAGCUCUAGGUUCAUACUUUCCUUUUUUUUUUUUUCUUUUUUUUUUUU